ensembl:snRNA U6 U6 spliceosomal RNA
CGGCUUUGGCAGCCCACAUGCUAAGUCGGAAUGACACAGAGGAGCUUGGCGUGGCCCCUGCACAAGGGUGACACGCCAAUUCGUGAAGCGCCCCACAUUUCU